rnacentral:tRNA from 2 species
GCGGGUUUAGCUCAGUUGGUAGAGCGUUUGCUUCCCAAGCAAAAUGUCGUGAGUUCGAGUCUCAUAACCCGCU